rnacentral:rRNA from 1 species
CGUGAAGUCGGAAUCGCUAGUAAUCGCGGAUCAGCAUGCCGCGGUGAAUACGUUCCCGGGCCUUGUACACACCGCCCGUCACACCAUGAGAGUCGGGAACACCCGAAGUCCGUAGCCUAACCGCAAGGAGGGCGCGGCCGAAGGUGGGUUCGAUAAUUGGGGUGAAGUCGUAACAAGGUAUC